rnacentral:rRNA from 1 species
UGCAUUAUUUGACGUUAGCGACAGAAGAAGCACCGGCUAACUCCGUGCCAGCAGCCGCGGUAAUACGGAGGGUGCGAGCGUUAAUCGGAAUACUGGGCGUAAAGCGCAUGCAGGUGGUUUGUUAAGUCAGAUGUGAAAGCCCGGGGCUCAACCUCGGAAUUGCAUUUGAAACUGGCAGACUAGAGUACUGUAGGAGGGGGGUAGAAUUUCAGGUGUAGCGGUGAAAUGCGUAGAGAUCUGAAGGAAUACCGGUGGCGAAGGCGGCCCCCUGGACAGAUACUGACACUCAGAUGCGAAAGCGUGGGGAGCAAACAGGAUUAGAUACCCUGGUAGUCCACGCCGUAAACGAUGUCUACUUGGAGGUUGUGGCCUUGAGCCGUGGCUUUCGGAG